UACGUAGGGUGCAAGCGUUGUCCGGAAUUAUUGGGCGUAAAGAGCUCGUAGGCGGUCUGUCGCGUCUGCUGUGAAAACUCGGGGCUUAACCCCGGGCCUGCAGUGGGUACGGGCAGACUAGAGUGCGGUAGGGGAGACUGGAAUUCCUGGUGUAGCGGUGAAAUGCGUAGAGAUCGUGAGGAAGACCAGUGGCGAAGGCGGGUCUCUGGACAGUUCCUGACGCUGAGGCGCGAAGGCCAGGGGAGCAAACGGG
rnacentral:rRNA from 1 species